UUCUCCUUGGGCAGAAGGGAGUUGGCCAAGAAAUAGCAAACGGUGCCUCGUUGUUGGUUCCUGCUGCCCAAAGGACUUCCACUGAAGCUCACCGCUGACGGGGAAAUCAAGACUGUCUGGCCCUCUGCACCUGGCUGCCUCGAGAAUCCCAGAGUCUGCUCAGGACAACACAGAGCCUUAAUAUUGGUAUGUUAUGAGAUGUUUAUUCCACUAGAGCCCA
rnacentral:lncRNA from 1 species